GCGCCUGUAGCUCAGUCGGAAGAGCAGCACACUUUUAAUGUGACGGCCGGAGGUUCAAGUCCUCUCAGGCGUACCA
rnacentral:tRNA from 1 species